rnacentral:rRNA from 1 species
AGUGAACGCUGGCGGUAGGCCUAACACAUGCAAGUCGAACGGCAGCACAGUAAGAGCUUGCUCUUACGGGUGGCGAGUGGCGGACGGGUGAGGAAUACAUCGGAAUCUACUUUUUCGUGGGGGAUAACGUAGGGAAACUUACGCUAAUACCGCAUACGACCUACGUGUGAAAGCAGGGGAUCUUCGGACCUUGCGCGAUUGAAUGAUCCGAUGUCGGAUUAGCUAGUUGGCGGGGUAAAGGCCCACCAAGGCGACGAUCCGUAGCUGGUCUGAGAGGAUGAUCAGCCACACUGGAACUGAGACACGGUCCAGACUCCGACGGGAGGCAGCAGUGGGGAAUAUUGGACAAUGGGCGCAAGCCUGAUCCAGCCAUACCGCGUGGGUGAAGAAGGCCUUCGGGUUGUAAAGCCCUUUUGUUUGGAGAGAAAAGCAGCAGGUUAAUACCCCGCUGUUCUGACGGUACCCAAAGAAUAAGCACCGGCUAACUUCGUG